AUUGAACGCUGGCGGCGUGCCUAAUACAUGCAAGUCGAGCGAGCGGCGGACGGGUGAGUAACACGUGAUAACCUACCUAUCAGACUGUGAUAACUUCGGGAAACCGUAGCUAAUACCGUAUUCUUAUAGGUGAAUCCGCGCUGCAUUAGCUAGUUGGUAAGGUAACGGCUUACCAAGGCAACGAUGAAUAGCCGACCUGAGAGGAUGAGCACCCAAAUGGGAACUGAGACACGGUCCAGACUCCUACGGGAGGCAGCAGUGGGGAAUAUUGCACAAUGGGCGCAAGCCUGAUGCAGCCAUGCCGCGUGUAUGAAGAAGGCCUUCGGGUUGUAAAGUACUUUCAGCGGGGAGGCGUUACCCGCAGAAGAAGCACCGGCUAACUCCGUGCCAGCAGCCGCGGUAAUAC
rnacentral:rRNA from 1 species